rnacentral:rRNA from 1 species
UACAGAGGUCUCAAGCGUUGUUCGGAUUCAUUGGGCGUAAAGGGUGCGUAGGCGGCGCGGUAAGUCGGGUGUGAAAUCUCGGAGCUUAACUCCGAAACUGCCUUCAAUACUGCUGAGCUCGAGGAUUGUAGAGGAGAAUGGAAUUCACGGUGUAGCAGUGAAAUGCGUAGAUAUCGUGAGGAAGACCAGUGGCGAAGGGCGAUUCUCUGGGCAAUUCCUGACACUGAGGCACGAAGGCCAGGGGAGCAAACGGG